GACGUAGGGCGCGAGCGUUGUCCGGAUUUAUUGGGCGUAAAGAGCUCGUAGGCGGCUUGUCGCGUCGGCUGUGAAAACUGGAGGCUCAACCUCCAGCCUGCAGUGGGUACGGGCAGACUAGAGUGCGGUAGGGGAGAUUGGAAUUCCUGGUGUAGCGGUGAAAUGCGCAGAUAAUCGGGAAAACACCCGUGGCGAAGGCGGUUCUCUGGGACGGUACUGGACGCUGAGACGCGAAAAGCGUGGGGAGCGAACAGG
rnacentral:rRNA from 1 species